AAUUGAAUUGUGAAAUCAAAAUUGUGAAUCGCAUCAUGAGUUGAGUGAACCGUUACAUCCCUAGUGUCUUGAAAAGUAGUUUGACCAACUAGCAGUUGCCAAGAGGAAAUCAGUCUUACUUUUCCAAUACAAAUAAGACCACUCUACCUUUUCAUAACAAAUUAAAAAGUUAUGACCAGUCUUGAAGAAAAAAAAUUUGAUGACUAACUUUUUAAGACUAGUCUAAACAGUUUAUGUGUGUGAGCGUGUGGUGAGGAGCGUGUAUUGUGUGUGUGUGGUGAGGAGCGUGUAUUGUGUGUGUGAGCGUGGGGUGAGGAGCGUGUAUUGUGUGUGUGAGCGUGUGGUGAGGAGCCUGUAUUGUGUGUGUGAGCGUGUGGUGAGGAGCGUGUAUUGUGUGUGUGUGCGUGUGGUAAGGAGCCUGUAUUGUGUGUGUGAGCGUGUGGUGUGGAGCGUGUAUUGUGUGUGUGAGCGUGUGGUGAGGAGCGUGUAUUGUGUGUGUGAGCGUGUGGUGUGGAGCGUGUAUUGUGUGUGUGAGUGUGUGGUGAGGAGCGUGUAUUGUGUGUGUGAGCGUGUGGUGAGGAGCGUGUAUUGUGUGUGUGAGCGUGUGGUGAGGAGCCUGUAUUGUGUGUGUGAGCGUGUGGUGAGGAGCCUGUAUUGUGUGUGUGAGCGUGUGGUGAGGAGCGUGUAUUGUGUGUGUGAGCGUGUGGUGAGGAGCGUGUAUUGUGUGUGUGAGCGUGUGGUAAGGAGCCUGUAUUGUGUGUGUGAGCGAGCGUGUAUUGUGUGUGUGAGCGUGUGGUGAGGAGCGUGUAUUGUGUGUGUGAGCGUGUGGUGUGGAGCGUGUAUUGUGUGUGUGAGAGUGUGGUGAGGAGCGUGUAUUGUGUGUGUGAGCGUGUGGUGAGGAGCGUGUAUUGUGUGUGUGAGCGUGUGGUGAGGAGCGUAUAUUGUGUGUGGCGUACAUGUUUGAGAAGGGCCAGGAUGUAGAGCGGGAGCAGACGCAGGCAGGCGGGGGUCAGCAGGCCGGGCUGAGGGACGGUCAGCACAGAGGAGCGGUAGGAUGCCAGCGAGUCGAUUGCAGCGUUGAUCAGAGCGUCACGAGCAUCACUCAGACUCGCCGACA
ensembl:lncRNA